AGUUCGGAUUGUAGGCUGNAACUCGCCUACAUGAAGUCGGAAUUGCUAGUAAUCGCGGAUCAGCAUGCCGCGGUGAAUACGUUCCCGGGCCUUGUACACACCGCCCGUCACACCAUGGGAGUCGGUAACACCCGAAGCCUGUAGUCUAACCGCAAGGGGGACGCAGUCGAAGGUGGGAUUGAUGACUGGGGUGAAGUCGUAACAAGGUAUC
rnacentral:rRNA from 1 species